rnacentral:rRNA from 1 species
CAUGAACACCGACACGUUGAACGCAUAUUGCGCAUCGGACGACUCAACCCGACCGAUGCACACAUCCUCGAGUGCCUACCAAGUUGACAAGACCAAUCAUACACCUAACUGACUGAGCCACCCGCGACCACCACACUGUUGAUGGACGUUUGGGAGGCCAGUCGCAGAAUGGCGUGCUCGGUCCUGCGGGACCUUGGGCGCUGAAAGAGAGUGUAGUAGCAGCACUCUCACUGAUUGGGGCACCGUAGGUAGCGCACCGCACGCGCAAUCGCUCUGUCGCAUGCUUCGGCACUCGGCUUCAGCUAAUGAUGCUUCCUCGCGUGUACAGCCAAUGACACUCUGGUACCAGGCUCGCGCAACCAUUGGGGAAACUAUCGGGCUGGUCGGGGUCGUGUAACUCUUGCGACACCCCACCGAGCGUGACCCGUGUGCGGGGCCAUACGCCUGCAAACGCCCCACAUCACGUGUAGGCCUCAAGUGAUGUGUGACA